rnacentral:rRNA from 1 species
CGCGGCCUAUCAGCUUGUUGGUGGGGUAGCGGCCUACCAAGGCGAUGACGGGUAGCGGGUCUGAGAGGAUGAUCCGUCACACUGGGACUGAGACACUGCCCAGACUCCUACGGGGGGCUGCAGUCGAGAACCUUCCACAAUGGGCGAAAGCCUGAUGGAGCGACACCGCGUGCAGGAUGAAGGCCUUAGGGUUGUAAACUGCUGUCACGCUAUAGGAACCCGUGACCGUUAAUAGCGGUCGCGCUGACCAAAGCGAGAGGAAGCGCCGGCUAACUCCGUGCCAGCAGCCGCGGUAAUACGGAGGGCGCAAGCGUUGUUCGGAUUCACUGGGCAUAAAGAGCACGUAGGCGGCUCGCUCAGUCGGGUGUGAAAGCCCACGGCCCAACCGUGGAACUGCACCCGAUACUGGCGAGCUCGAGGACGGAAGGGGUGAGUGGAACUCCAGGUGGAACGGUGAAAUGUAUAGAUAUCUGGAGGAACACCGGUGGCGAAAGCGGCUCACUGGUCCGUCUCUGACGCUGAGGUGCGAAAGCUAGGGUAGCGAACGGGAUUAGAUACCCCGGUAGUCCUAGCCGUAAACGAUGGGCACUAGGCAAUGGGCUUUCCUAUGGGGCUCAUUGCCGGAGCUAAUGUGUUAAGUGCCCCGCCUGGGGAGUACGG